GGUUGGGCCUUACCUUUUCAAGGGUCCAAGACCAGCUUACUAUGGACCCCAAGACUCUCUCAAGAGCCUCACUCUUCAUUCUGUCUCACUUUGCAUAAAAUAAUUUCUCUCCCCUUUCUAAAACUCUAGAGCAGUAGCCCUACUAGAAGUUUUUGCCUCCUCAAGUUUGCAAAUCUUCUUUGUUCGAAGUUGUCUGAACUCGUAUCUCCAAAGCUGUGGUGCUCUCCUUGGGGUACUAUUUCAUUUGGCUAAGCUUGAGUAAGACGUGGAAACCCCUGGAGGUACUCAAGGUGGUGGAGAUGCUGCUGUGUAGAGUGGUCCCAUGGUCUGGGUUGUGGCUCACAGUUCAGUGUUUUUGAAGAACUCUUAGUUUGUUUUAAAUUUCUUGCUCCUUGAGCAAUCCUUUUGCAAAACAAUAGUACUCUUGUGUUAUGUUUUAUGGCAUCGUGGUGUGCCUAAACUUUCAUUCCAAGUAUAUUAUGGAUAACUGUAAUAGUUAGUACAUGUAUGUUUCAUGUCAUGUGCUCUUUUAUACUAUAAUUAUGUGAUGUUUAAUUUUA